rnacentral:tRNA from 1 species
GGCCCUGUGUCGCAACGGUAGUGCAUCUGACUCCGGAUUAGAAGGUUGUCCCUUUAACUCGGGCCGGGGUCA